GAGUUUGAUCCUGGCUCAGGACGAACGCUGGCGGCGUGCCUAACACAUGCAAGUCGAACGAAGCUUUGAGGAGCUUGCUUUUUAAAGCUUAGUGGCGGACGGGUGAGUAACGCGUGAGCAACCUGCCUCUCAGAGGGGGAUAACGUUUUGAAAAGAACGCUAAUACCGCAUAAUAUAUCGGAACCGCAUGAUUCUGAUAUCAAAGGAGCAAUCCGCUGAGAGAUGGGCUCGCGUCCGAUUAGUUAGUUGGUGAGGUAACGGCUCACCAAGACUACGAUCGGUAGCCGGACUGAGAGGUUGAUCGGCCACAUUGGGACUGAGACACGGCCCAGACUCCUACGGGAGGCAGCAGUGGGGGAUAUUGCGCAAUGGGGGAAACCCUGACGCAGCAACGCCGCGUGAAGGAAGAAGGUCUUCGGAUUGUAAACUUCUUUUGUCAGGGACGAAGAAAGUGACGGUACCUGACGAAUAAGCUCCGGCUAACUACGUGCCAGCAGCCGCGGUAAUAC
rnacentral:rRNA from 1 species